rfam:Canis lupus familiaris chromosome 34, whole genome shotgun sequence.
AUCACUUCUCGGCCUUUUGACCAAGAUCAAGUGUAGUAUCUGUUCUUAUCAGUUUAAUAUCUGAUAUGUUCUCUAUCCGAGGACAAUAUAUUAAAUGGAUUUUUGGAGCUGGGAGAUGGAAUAGGAGCUUGCUCUGUCCACUCCACGCAUCGACCUGGUAUUGCAAUCAGAGCCCUGUUGUUUUAUUUGUA